GAUGAACGCUAGCGGCAGGCCUAAUACAUGCAAGUCGAACGGUGUCUUCGGACAUAGUGGCGCACGGGUGCGUAACACGUAUGCAACCUACCUUACAUUGGGGGAUAGCCUUUCGAAAGGGAGAUUAAUACCGCAUAAGACAGUAGCUGGGCAUCCAGCAGCUGUUAAAGAUUUAUCGAUGUAAGCUGGGCAUGCGUCCAAUUAGCUAGAUGGUGAGGUAACGGCUCACCAAGGCAAUGAUUGGUAGGGGAACUGAGAGGUCAAUCCCCCACACUGGCACUGAGAUACGGGCCAGACUCCUACGGGAGGCAGCAGUAGGGAAUAUUGGGCAAUGGACGCAAGUCUGACCCAGCCAUGCCGCGUGCAGGAUGAAGGCGUUAUGCGUUGUAAACCGCUUUUAUACAGGAAGAAACGACUCUUGCGAGAGGCAUUGACGGUACUGUAUGAAUAAGCACCGGCUAACUCCGUGCCAGCCGCCGCGGUAAAAC
rnacentral:rRNA from 1 species